GAUGAAGAACGUAGUUAAAUGCGAUAAGUAAUGUGAAUUGCAGAAUUCAGUGAAUCAUCGAAUCUUUGAACGCACCUUGCACCCUUUGGCAUUCUGAAGGGUAUGCUCGUUUGAGUGUCAUUGUACUCUCACACUCCCGAUCUUUGCAUUGGGAGCAGUGGACUUGGGUUUGCUGCUUCACCGUCGCUUACCUCAAAUAGGUUAGUGCAACUCUUGGUUGGACAUAGUACGGCGUGAUAAGUGUUCUUCGCCGGUGCCUCGCAAAGAGGGUGGCCGAUCGGGAUGUUGUGCUCCAAACCGUCUUCGGACAAUCUCUGACGACUUGACCUCAAAUCGAGUAAGACUACCCGCUGAACUUAAGCAUAUCAAUAAGCGGAGGA
rnacentral:misc_RNA from 1 species